UGCAAAUAGAUUUAGCUCACAUUCAUGUUGGUCUGUCAGGGUUAUGUAAAAAUAAAAAAUUCCGUUUCUUAUAGCUGACUUGAUUAUGGUUUACCUAAAGCUUAAUAUUUAUGAAACAAUGAUUCAAUUUAAAUUGUAUUAUAAGUAGCUCUGUUGAAUAAAUUUUUUUUUUGUAAUUUGUA
rnacentral:lncRNA from 1 species